rnacentral:misc_RNA from 1 species
GAUGAAGAACGCAGCGAAAUGCGAUACGUAAUGUGAAUUGCAAAUUCAGUGAAUCAUCGAAUCUUUGAACGCACAUUGCGCCCUCUGGUAUUCCGGGGGGCAUGCCUGUUCGAGCGUCAUUAUAACCACUCAAGCUCUCGCUUGGUAUUGGGGUUCGCGGUUCCGCGGCCCCUAAAAUCAGUGGCGGUGCCUGUCGGCUCUACGCGUAGUAAUACUCCUCGCGAUUGAGUCCGGUAGGUCUACUUGCCAGCAACCCCCAAUUUUUACAGGUUGACCUCGGAUCAGGUAGGGAUACCCGCUGAACUUAAGCAUAUCAAUAAGCGGAGGA